rnacentral:rRNA from 1 species
AUUGAACGCUGGCGGGAUGCUUAACACAUGCAAGUCGAGCGAGCGGCGGACGGGUGAGUAAUGUAUGGGAAACUGCCUGAUAGAGGGGGAUAACUACUGGAAACAGUAGCUAAUACCGCAUACCAUCAGAUCGGCCCAGAUGGGAUUAGCUAGUGGGUGGGGUAAUGGCUCACCAAGGCGACGAUCCCUAGCUGGUUUGAGAGGAUGACCGGCCACACUGGAACUGAGACACGGCCCAGACUCCUACGGGAGGCAGCAGUAGGGAAUCUUCCGCAAUGGGCGAAAGCCUGAUCGAGCCACGCCGCGUGAGUGAUGAAGGUCUUCGGAUUGUAAAACUCUGUUAUCAGGGAAGCGGUACCUGAACAGAAAGCCACGGCUAACUACGUGCCAGCAGCCGCGGUAAUAC